rnacentral:rRNA from 1 species
UAUAUCCUACGGGGCGCAGCAGUGAGGAAUAUUGGUCAAUGGGCGGAAGCCUGAACCAGCCAAGUCGCGUGAGGGAAUAAGGCCCUACGGGUCGUAAACCUCUUUUGCCGGGGAGCAAGGGCCGGGACGAGUCCCGGUCCGGAGAGUACCCGGAGAAAAAGCAUCGGCUAACUCCGUGCCAGCAGCCGCGGUAAUACGGAGGAUGCGAGCGUUAUCCGGAUUUAUUGGGUGUAAAGGGCGUGUAGGCGGGAGCGCAAGUCAGAUGUGAAAACUCAGGGCUCAACCCUGAGCCUGCAUUUGAAACU